rnacentral:rRNA from 1 species
AGAAGCUUGCUUCUCUGUCGGCGAGUGGCGAACGGGUGAGUAUAGCAUCGGAACGUGCCAAGUAGUGGGGGAUAACCAAACGAAAGUUUGGCUAAUACCGCGUAAGCUCCAAGGAGGAAAGUAGGGGACCUAAAUAAGGCCUUACGCUAUUUGAUCGGCCGAUGUCGGAUUAGUUAGUUGGUGGGGUAAUGGCUCACCAAGGCAAUGAUCCGUAGCGGGUCUGAGAGGACGAUCCGCCACACUGGGACUGAGACACGGCCCAGACUCCUACGGGAGGCAGCAGUGGGGAAUUUUGGACAAUGGGGGAAACCCUGAUCCAGCCAUGCCGCGUGUAUGAAGAAGGCCUUAGGGUUGUAAAGUACUUUUGUUAGGGAAGAAAAGCUAGUUUUUAAUAAAAAUUAGUGAUGACGGUACCUAAAGAAUAAGCACCGGCUAACUACGUGCCAGCAGCCGCGGUAAUACGUAGGGUGCAAGCGUUAAUCGGAAUUAUUGGGCGUAAAGCGAGUGCAGACGGUUACUUAAGCCAGAUGUGAAAUCCCCAAGCUUAACUUGGGACGUGCAUUUGGAACUGGGUGACUAGAGUGUGUCAGAGGGAGGUAGAAUUCCACAUGUAGCGGUGGAAUGCGUAGAGAUGUGGAGGAAUACCGAUGGCGAAGGCAGCCUCCUGGGAUAACACUGACGUUGAGGCUCGAAGCGUGGGGAGC